AGCUGCGGGGGAGAGCGGGGCACGUUUCGGCGAGCUCUUGGAAAUGGUACAUCAGUUGUUAUUGUUGAGGAACGAGACGAA
rnacentral:ribozyme from 1 species